CAGGCUUGAUCGGGUAACGCGCCGAUCUCGGCGGCUCCCUUGUAGGUGUCGGCGGAGAGGGUCCGUGUAUCCCGUCUCGCAAUGGGACGACGCGUGAGUGGCUCCAUGGACGGGAUCCGUGAGCAGGCUCCAUGCUACGCGCAUCGAACUGCCUCGGCCCGUCCUUUUCACUUGUGGGUUCGCCUCGGCCAUUGUCAGGGUCGUUUGCGGCCGCUCUGUGGGUUCCUGUGCUCUAUAUCCGAAGAGGGUAGUUGGAAGGAUCACAGUCACCGUGUCGGCACCCUUGAUUCACCCCCUCGGUCUCUUGGGAGUUGGUGGACGCCGUCGUGCGGGCAUCCGACGUACCCCAUCGGGAAGGCCGACGUCCAUUUCGGGCUCUCCUUCUCGGGACGGCGCGUUGGUGUCGCCGAGCUUUGCUCUCGGGUGCGGUGGUUAAGUUGGCGAUGGCAUCGGUCCCUGCGGCCGGUGUGAUCUCGAAGCGCUUUUGCGUGACUCUCGUGCUUGUCCAGGGGCUCUCGGAGCUUUGCCGUUUCGUGAACGUCUUGGGGAGGUAUCGAGUUGUACGGAGGAAUGU
rnacentral:misc_RNA from 1 species